rnacentral:rRNA from 1 species
GACGAACCGAGCGAACGUUGUUCGGAAUCACUGGGCUUAAAGGGCGCGUAGGCGGGUGCUCAAGUCCGGGGUGAAAUCCUCCAGCUCAACUGGAGAACUGCCUCGGAUACUGGGUGCCUCGAGUGUGGUAGGGGUAUGCGGAACUAUCGGUGGAGCGGUGAAAUGCGUUGAUAUCGAUAGGAACUCCGGUGGCGAAGGCGGCAUACUGGACCACAACUGACGCUGAGGCGCGAAAGCCAGGGGAGCGAACGGG